UGUAAAUUAACAACAUUCUUCCUUAUAAACUUGCUGCAGCAAGGUACCAGGACAUGUUUCUGCCUUGUAGUUUGUCACUGUAAGAUCUGUUUUGUCUUGAGAAUCCUGUCCUUAUUAAGCAUUUUAAACCUAUUUGGAGUUCUUGUACAGCCUCUAUUGCCAAAAUGUUUGAGUACCUUUCAGACACCACCAUUGGAAAGGACAAAAAUUUUGUUGUUUCAACUUCUCAGAAAUGGAGAGGGAUUAAAAAAUAGGUUACUUAAUAAAUUAUUUUGAGUGUGUCGCUUCAUUUUUUAUGUUCUUCACAGCACAUUUUCCUGUAUCUGAGCCCACAUCAAGUUCACUUGGAAAAUCUGUCCUAUGAGAGAACUGAAGGUAUUUAAAGUAUACUCUGGGCCAGUAUGUAGAGAAUUAUUAUACAGUUGUCUACUUUCACUAUGGCCUGAAGAGCCUGAAUAAACCAUCUCUGAAAUGGCUACAAACAGCCUGCAAGAAAUUUGACAGGUAGUAAGUCUCUAAAAGAUCUGGUUUACUCUUCAGAUUGUGUAAUGUCUAUAACUAACUUCCACGAGGGAAGUUAGGUGAAUCUGUCCUGAUCCACCUUCAAUAAACUGAGUUCACUUUGCCAUUGCAAAUUCUUGUAAUGAUGUCAGUGGUCUUGGUUCUUUCAUUAGGUGUCUUCUGUACCGUUCUGAGGAAUGGCCUGGGCGCUGCAGUUGUUAUCCAAAGAUAUGAAGAAAAUCUUUGGAGGAAACAGAAGGGAAAACUUCCACCUAUGGUUAAGAUUCCUCCACCAUGGCCACCUCUGCCUACCCAGCUAUUUGGAGUCAGCCUGCAAUAGUAGUGAGGAGAGCAACAACCACAGUGAGGUAGCUGAAAGGUUAAUCAAGCCUCACCUCAAGUCUUCAGCAGAGGGAAAUGGCAGGGAAUAGCACUGAAACAAGGCAGACACAGAAGUAUUCCUCCUUGGCUGUAAGUUACAGCUUACAGUGAUCAAAGACUUUCAGAGAAGAGUACUACACUACUAUGAAAAUGACCUUCUGUUACUCACCAGUAGCUACUGCUUUCAUAAAGCCAGACAUUUCAAACAAUGUUCAUGCAUUGUGUUGCUACAGUAUGACUAGUUUCCUGCUUUUUCUUCACACAAAAAAAUGUAGAACAGAAGGAAUUGGCUAUUCAAAUCUAUCUACUUUAGUUUGGUCUGCAUGUCAGGGUGAAAAAUAAGAUAUUUCUUUUAAAAGUCAUUAGUGAAGGUUUUAUGUUUAAAAGGGCAAGGAAAAGUUAUGGGGACCAUCUGCUUUUGUAGAUCAGAUAAGUAGAGUUAAAAUGCGUGAAUGAAAUAUCCUAAAUUCCAACAAAGAAAUUAAUAAUUGACUCUAUGGGCCAAGCAGCAUCAUUGUCCUGUGCCGUAUUGUCUGAUAAACACCUGUUGCUGCACCUGAUGGCCACUCAUCAAGGAAGGUCACAGCUGAGCUCAAAUACAACACACAGAGUUGACCUUGACUAACUAUUGACAUUGUUCUGUUUUAUCUGAUUAGUUUUUAAAUCUGAAAUUAAAUAUCAUUUGUGAGAAGUCAGGAAAUGCUUGCUUCUUCUAUCGAAUGCCAUGGCUGGGGGAAAGAGGACAGAAAAAAUGUUCAAAAUUGUACAGUCCACAACUGUACAGCUUUCUCUUGUUAAUUUGUUGUCAUAAACAUUUCAGAGUGCUUUCCUUUUGGUCAUAAUCUUUCUGCUUGUCCAUGCUGUGUAUGCAUGACCAGGGAGGAGGAAUGCAUUCUAAACCAAACCUCCAUGGGCCUCAGCAGGGAGAAAAUGAAAGGGACAGGAAAAGCAAAGAGAGAGAAAGAUUAUCAGCCUAGAAUACCUACUGACAUCUCAGUACUAUGUGUGGGAAACUGUCUGCUGUCCAGAAAUGAGUCAUUGGGUGUGUAACGUGUUGCAGUAAUUGAUCAUGUAUCCUACAGUGAGAAGUUCCUCUCCCUGGCACUGUGUUUACCAGAAUAGAUCUCUCUGGAAUUUGACAUUGCUGCUAUAUAACUGAGAUCUGUGAAUCAUUUCCAGAAGCUGUAGUGAGCACUGUAGAAAUGCUCUGUUCUGUUCAUCACUAAAGCAAAAAGAGUAAGAAAAUACCUCAUUUCAAAUUGUCUGCAGCACUGCCUAAUCCCCAAUGAACAGUUUGCAUUAUCUAUCAUAAGGCAUGGCAGCUCAUCCCACCAUCCUGGACGAGGCAGGAGAAACAUGGAUUGUUUGGCAGGAUCCAAAAACAGAGGAGAGAGGUGUCAUUUCAUUGAUCUUUGAGCUGGUCUGAUUUACAUUAACUGAUGUAAUGUCCCCAUCAUUUUAUGUCACUUAAGGUCCAGUAAAGUGAAAGCUGUGUUCCACAAUGUGAAAUGCUCUGAAAAUACUCAUCCCAGCUCACCCCAGUGCAGCAGAAACAGAGCAAUAUUUUGCAUGUAUUUGCAUGUCAGGGAACAGACUAUUCUAUUUUAAAAUACCAUUUUUCUUGAGAACCUUGUUCAUUUUACUGAGAACAGAAACAACCUUUCCUUCAAGGGAAACUGGAGUCCUGUAGAAAAUGGUAGAAGUGCAAAAACUGUAUAACUGUACCGUUUUUCCCUAGGGGAAAAAAAAAGUGAUGUGUAGGGUUUAUUAUUGGAAAUUAUAGCCCAGUUAUUUGUUUUACCUCUCUGACAAAUAUACUAGUUCUCAACAGGAGCAAGUGCUGUAAAUAAUCACUUUGCUAUUUAUACACUGAAACAGGAAACACUUUUCUGGGCAACAAUAAUAAUUAGAGAACAUUUUUAAAAAGCUGCUGGGUUGCUAUUUGGUUCCUCUGGAGUUAGCAGCUGUAAGAAAGCAAAUGCAAUCAGUGCAACUUUAGAGAGGCUGAGAAUGGGUUCCAUGAGCUUAAAUUGUCAAUAAUAAAGAUGUAACAGCUUCCA
rnacentral:lncRNA from 1 species